AAAGAGUCAAAUGUCAUUAAUAGGACAACAAAACACCUGUGCAACUCAGAAGACGUACAGUGAUCCAGGCUGGUGACGAGAAGAUCUGACACGCCGUCGAAGUCCUGGUCACAGUGAGUCAGCAACACUCAAAGGAGCUUGGAGUUAACACUAUCAAGGCGCUUUGAGAUGAACACACCUGAGAUCAUCUAGCUUUAAAUGAUCAUGGAACAAAGGCUCCAGCCCGUUCCAGGUGAAGACACCACCCCUGGCCAUCAGGGAGCUUCCCUGAUUCCGGUAAACAGAGAAAGGUGAGAGUCCUGUGAUCCCCAAUAGGUAGGGUCUGCGCCCCUUCAUUCUUUGCAGCUUCAUUCUUUUUUUUUUUUUUUGGCACAUUUUGUCCAAUUCUUUGUUCAAGAUGCCAAGAACCUGGACACCCUCUUCUGAUAACACAAUCUUCUCCCAGGUACCAACCUCCUAACAUCAUCACCUUGGGGGUUAACGUGUGGUAUAUAAAUUUUGUGAGAAUGUAAAAAUUCUGUCCAUUGCAUUAGGCAAAUGGAGGCUGUAGGAGCAGGAUCAUUCUUUACAACAGUUAGUGUUUUGGGGCUGCUCCCUGCCCCUCAAUCCGAGGCCUGCCCCAUCCCCGCCUGGGUUUUCAUGCUACCCUGGGCUACUUCUUCCAGGUCCUGGACCCCCAGCAGAGGCUCUGGCUCUCAUAGUAUCUCCUGAGACUCAAUCCCUGCCCCCGAAAC